CCCAAUUACUCCUGUACUACCAAGUACCAAUAAAUUCCACCCCCUUCCCCCCAAAUUCGUCCGGCUUCGAUCACCGGAGAAAAUGACGAUGUACGGCACGAUUCCGGCGUCUUCAGAUGAAGGUACGAAUCUCAAGUUCAUAUCCACUGCAAAAGCAAGCAUCAAAUCUGGAUUAGGCACACGACGUCCAUGGAAACAGAUGUUCAAUCUCCGUUCGAUUAACUUUCCUCACGGCGUCUCCGAUGCGUUUUCACGAAUCAGGACGAACGUUGGUUACUUUCGUAUGAACUACGUGAUAAUCAUGCUCUUGAUUUUGUUCUUUAGCCUGUUAUGGCAUCCGGUUUCGUUGAUUGUAUUUGUGGUGAUGAUGGCGGCCUGGUUGUUCCUCUACUUCCUCCGUAACGAGCCUCUGAUGAUAUUUCACCGAAUAAUCGAUGAUCGUGUGGUUCUGGUGGUUUUGUUUGUUGUAACGAUCGUUUUGUUGCUGUUGACUGGCGCCACGAUGAAUAUAUUGUCGUCGAUUCUGAUUGGACUGGUUGUUGUGGUGGUUCAUGCUGCUUUGAGGUGUACGGAUGAUUUGUCCUCAGACGAAGAACGCGUAGAGGCAGGUGGAUAUUUGGCGUCUUCUUCGUCCUAGAAGGUAGACAAAUAGUUUGCGUUUGGAUUGCAGCUCUUCAUUUGUUAAUCAUAGGUACAUUGCAUUAAAAUUCUAAAAGACAUAUUUAUUUUGAAAAGCCACUUGUCCUACGCCAUGUUGGAAGGAAUACAGAAGAGAGAGAAGUUUGGAUAGCGACUGAAAAUAGCUUUGUCCGUGGUGGUGGGUUAAAAAGAUUUUGGGUUUAAUUUGAUUUAUAUUUUGAGUAAUGUAUUUUUAAAUUUUUAUUUUGGUAUGUAAGAUGUAAAAUUUUAAAUAUUUAAGUAUCUGAAUAACCGAUUGAAGAAUUAA